rnacentral:rRNA from 1 species
UACGGGGGGAGCAAGCGUUGUCCGGAUUUACUGGGCGUAAAGGGCGUGCAGGCGGUUUGUUAAGUGCAGGGUGAAAGCUCCCGGCUCAACUGGGAGAGGUCCUUGCAUACUGGCGAACUCGAGGGAGGCAGAGGAAAGUGGAAUUCCCGGUGUAGUGGUGAUAUGCGUAGAUAUCGGGAGGAACACCUGUGGCGAAGGCGGCUUUCUGGGCCUUACCUGACGCUGAGACGCGAAAGCGUGGGGAGCGAACCGG